rnacentral:rRNA from 1 species
UACAUAGGGGGCGAGCGUUGUUCGGAAUUACUGGGCGUAAAGGGCGCGUAGGCGGCCUCUUAAGUCGGACGUGAAAUCCCCGGGCUCAACCCGGGAACUGCGUCCGAUACUGGGAGGCUUGAAUCCGGGAGAGGGAUGUGGAAUUCCAGGUGUAGCGGUGAAAUGCGUAGAUAUCUGGAGGAACACCGGUGGCGAAGGCGGCAUCCUGGACCGGUAUUGACGCUGAGGCGCGAAAGCCAGGGGAGCAAACGGG